rnacentral:tRNA from 1 species
GCCUGGGUGGCUUAGUUGGUUAAGCGUCCGACUUCGGCUCAGGUCAUGAUCUUACAGCUCGUGGGUUCAAGCCCCGCCCCACAUU